GCCAGCGUAGCUCAGUUGGUAGAGCAGCUGAUUUGUAAUCAGCGGGUCGGGGGUUCGAAUCCUCUCGCUGGCU
rnacentral:tRNA from 2 species